CUACGGGUCGCUGCAGUGAGGAAUAUUGCACAAUGGGGGGAACCCUGAUGCAGCAACGCCGCGCGGAGGAUGACGCAUUUCGGUGUGUAAACUCCUUUUAUAUGUCAAGAAAAUGACGGUAGCAUAUGAAUAAGCACCGGCUAACUCCGUGCCAGCAGCCGCGGUAAUACGGAGGGUGCAAGCGUUACUCGGAAUCACUGGGCGUAAAGGACGCGUAGGCGGGUUGGAAAGUCAGGUGUGAAAUCCUACAGCUUAACUGUAGAACUGCACUUGAAACUUCUAAUCUAGAGUAUGGGAGGGGGAGAUGGAAUUAGUGGUGUAGGGGUAAAAUCCGUAGAUAUCACUAGGAAUACCUAAAGCGAAGGCGAUCUCCUGGAACAUUACUGACGCUAAGGCGUGAAAGCGUGGGGAGCAGACAGGAUUAGAUACCCUGGUAGUC
rnacentral:rRNA from 1 species